rnacentral:lncRNA from 1 species
UGAGAUAUGCAUAACAGACACUUGUUGUUUGGGAGUAUAUUGUGGUGUAUAUGGCUACUUGGAAACCAUAUACAUGAUCAUUAUACAUUUUCUUACUUUCCAAAUUAGCAUUCUUAGGUUUGAAUAAUCAAGAUUAACCAAUUUAGCCAAAUUGUAGCAUAAUCAAGAUUAAGCAUUCACAUUUAAAUUUGCAUUCAGACCAACAAUAUGAAUCUUUGUGAUUAUGAAUAACCACUCAAAUUGAAAUUGCAUUCAGACCAUCAAGUUUUGGAAUAUCUAGGGACAUAUCAUCAUUUUAGGGACAUAUACUCACCAAGAAGUUCACCAACAUCCACUCCACAUAGAAGGGAUGCAUGUUCGUCCCGGAUGCAUAUUCCAAUGCCAACUCUUUAAAUGUGGUGCAAAGGAUGCAUCAAUAUUCGAUUUGAAUCGCAACAGAGUCGGAUCUUCCAAUUAACAGCAGCUGAAUAUGACCGUGCCGCACCAGGAUAAGCCGUUGUAGCAUUCUCCAAAGCACCAGCUCGUAUCAGACCCAAAGCAGUCACAUGUUCUGCCCUGCAUCAGACCUGAAACAGAACACAAUCUCGGCACUAAAUUCCAAAAUAAAAUUAACUUAUGAACACAAUUUUCGAUUAUAAAGCUUGAGUCUAACACUUGUUCCCAUAAAUUUCGUAAUAGACAACAAAACAAAGCAAAAUUAUGAACAUCUAAUUUAGGGACAUCCAGGUACAUAUAUUCAUUUAGGGACAUCGACAGACAUAUAUUCAAUUUGGCAUCUAAGGCCCCAAGGGUCUUCACUUAAAUUUGAAGUUAUGAAGCAUUCACAUUGAAAUUAUAUUCAAACCAUCAAUUUUUGGGACAUUGAGAGACAUAUACUCAAGUUUGCAUCGAAG